ACCUCAUCCUCUCGCUCGCCUCUCACCUGCCUCGCCUCUGUCUCUCGCUCGCGCCGUUGCAUCCUUUCUCCGGCGAGCCCCACCACUAGCCACGCGAGGAGCUGCAACCGGAGGGCGGAGGAGUUGCUACCGGCCACUCGGGGAGCUCGACCGGCGGGCAGAGGAGCUACAAGCCGGGAACUAAACCGACGACCGCCGUGGUGGAUUCAGCACGCCGGGGUGCUGCAACCGGCAGAUCAAAUAGCUACAACUACCUUUUGUUUUUGCUGGGACCGGUGAGAAAUUUUGCUGCGACCAUCGACGCUCCGGCAAAAGCAGCAUCUGCUCGCCGUGGAUACGCGCGCAGCUCGUGCUCUGCCCCAACAGCACGAUGCGUGCAGCUCUGGUGAGGGGCAGCAUCUACUCGUGUGCGGCCCUUCCCCAACAGAUGGCUUGUCGCGGAUGACGAUCUGCGCGCUCCGCUCCACUCGCAGGAGAGAGGGCAACCACCAUCAGAAGAUGCUUCAACCUCGGCGCGGCGGAGCUACAAGUGUAGGUCCAGGAGCUGCAACCAGCCAGACAAAUGAUGGAACCGGGGACGACCCGUGUUGUGUCGGCGACGGCGAAGGUCCACCAUUGCUGGAACCAGCUACAUUUUUUGCUGGAACUACCAUUAAUUUUUGCUGGAACUGGAUUUUUUUGUUGCUACAAUCAACUAGUGUGUUUGCUGCUGAGUUUUUUUGCUGGAACCAGCAUUUGUGUUUGCUGGAACUGGCUUUUUUGUUUGCUACAAUCAUCUUUCUCAGAUUUGUACUGCUGAGAUUAUUUUUGCUGGAAACGUCAUCAAUUUUUGGUACCA